UAACAAGGAUUCCCCUAGUAACUGCGAGUGAAGCGGGAUAAGCUCAAAUUUAAAAUCUGACGGUCUUUUGCCGUCCGAAUUGUAACCUAGAGAAGUGUUGCCCGCGCUGGACCAUGUAUAAGUCUCCUGGGAUGGAGUGUCAGAGAGGGUGAGAAUCCCGUUUUUGACAUGGACUACCAGUGCAUUGUGGUAUACUCUCAAAGAGUUGAGUUGUUUGGGAAUGCAGCUCUAAAUGGGUGGUAAAUUCCAUCUAAAGCUAAAUAUGGGCGAGAGACCGAUAGCGAACAAGUACCGUGAGGGAAAGAUGAAAAGAACUUUGGAAAGAGAGUUAAACAGUAUGUGAAAUUGUUGAAAGGGAAACGUUUGAAGUCAGUGAUAUUGGUCAGGGAUCAAGCCGGCAUACUCAUUUGCUUGGGUGUAGUUCCUGGUUGAUAGGUCAACAUCAGUUCUGACUGCUGGAGAAGGGCUAGCGGAAAGUGGCACCCUUUUUGGGUGUGUUUAUAGCUGUUAGUCAUAUACAGCAGUUGGGACUGAGGAAAGCAGCGUGCCAUUUAGGCAGGGUUUCGACCACAUUCGCGCUUAGGAUGUUGGCAUAUAAUGGCUUUAAGCGAC
rnacentral:rRNA from 1 species